rnacentral:rRNA from 1 species
GACCAACCUACCCUAGGGAGAUAGAUAACCCCUGGGAAAACUGGGGUUAAACUACCAUAGGAGGCGGGAUCUGGAAAAGACCCGCCUCUGAAAGUGGGUGUACGGGGGAUGCCUGUACACCAGCCCUAGGAUGGGGCUGCGGCCCAUCAUGGUUGUUGGUGGGGGUAACGGCCCACCAAGCCUAUAACGGGUACAGAGCCCUGAGAGGGGGAGCCCGGAGAUGGACUCUGAGACAAGAGUCCAGGCCCUACGGGGCGCAGCAGGCGCGAAAACUCCCCAAUGCCCGAAAGGGUGAGGGGGUCACCCCGAGUGCCACCCUCGCGGUGGCUUUUGCGGGGUCUAAAAAGCCCCGCGAAUAAGGGGAGGGCAAGACGGGUGUCAGCCGCCGCGGUAAUACCCGCUCCCCGAGUGGUGGGGACUAUUACUGGGCCUAAAGCACCCGUAGCCGGCCGGAUGUGUCUCCCGUUAAAUCCACGGGCCUAACCCGUGGGCUGCGGGAGAUACUAUCCGGCUUGGGGGUGGGAGAGGGCGGCGGUAUUCCCGGGGUAGGGGUAAAAUCCACUGAUCCCGGGAGGACCACCGGUGGCGAAGGCGGCCGCCCAGAACACGCCCGACGGUGAGGGGUGAAAGCUGGGGGAGCAAACGGGAUUAGAUACCCCGGUAGUCCCAGCUGUAAACGAUGCGGGCUAGGUGUCGGGUGGGCUACGGGCUCACCCGGUGCCGAAGGGAAACCAUUA